CCUGACUGCUAUCGGAUUGAUACUAAGCCAUGCUAGUCUUUGUAGUAAUACAAGGCAUACGGCUCAGUAACGCGUAGUCAACCUACCCUAUGGACGGGGAUAAUCUCGGGAAACUGAGCAUAAUACCCGGCAGACCACUUAUCCUGGAAUGGUUAGUGGUUAAAAUGAUUCGUCGCCAUAGGAUGGGACUGCGGCCUAUCAGCUUGUUGGUGAGGUAAUGGCCCACCAAGGCGAUUACAGGUACGGGCUCUGAGAGGAGAGGCCCGGAGAUGGGUACUGAGACAAGGACCCAGGCCCUAUGGGGCGCAGCAGGCGAGAAAACUUUGCAAUGUGCGAAAGCACGACAAGGUUAAUCCGAGUGAUUUCUGCUAAAGGAAUCUUUUGUUAGUUCUAAAAAUACUAGUGAAUAAGGGGUGGGCAAGUUCUGGUGUCAGCCGCCGCGGUAAAACCAGCACCUCAAGUGGUCAGGAGGAUUAUUGGGCCUAAAGCAUCCGUAGCCUGUUCUAUAAGUUUGCGGUUAAAUCUAUACGCUCAACGUAUAGGCUGCCGUAAAUACUGUAGAACUAGGGAGUGGGAGAGGUAGACGGUACUCGAUAGGAAGGGGUAAAAUCCUUUGAUCUAUUGAUGACCACCUGUGGCGAAGGCGGUCUACCAGAAUACGUUCGACGGUGAGGGAUGAAAGCUGGGGGAGCAAACCGGAUUAGAUACCCGGGUAGUCCCAGCUGUAAACGAUGCAGACUCGAUGAUGCAAUGGCAUAGAGCUAUUGCAGUAUCGCAGGGAAGCCGUUAAGUCUGCCGCCUGGGAAGUACGUACGCAAGUAUGAAACUUAAAGGAAUUGGCGGGGGAGCACCACAAGGGGUGAAGCCUGCGGUUC
rnacentral:rRNA from 1 species